UCCGGUAUGGUGUAGUGGCUAACAUUUGACGCUCUCACGAUCAAGCUUGCUUGGUUACGAAAUCCGUCAAGCCCAGGGUUCGAUUCCCUGUACCGGAG